UGGGAAACAUUGGCCUACACCCAUGAACCAUUUACACUUGAAGCUUUACCUGACUGAAUUAUGUUUUUAAUUU